ACGUGGGUAACCUGCCUUAUAGUGGGGGAUAGCCUUUCGAAAGGAAGAUUAAUACCGCAUAAGAUUGUAGUAUCGCAUGAUAUAGCAAUUAAAGGAGCAAUUCGCUAUAAGAUGGACCCGCGUCGCAUUAGCUAGUUGGUGAGGUAAUGGCUCACCAAGGCGCGAUGCGUAGCCGACCUGAGAGGGUGAUCGGCCACAUUGGGACUGAGACACGGCCCAGACUCCUACGGGAGGCAGCAUG
rnacentral:rRNA from 1 species